rnacentral:lncRNA from 1 species
AGUUGCUGCACCAAUUGGACUAUGUUAUGGCAGAGUUGCAAACAAUCUGCCACAGCCCUCAGACGUGAUCAACCUCAUAAAAUCAAACGGCAUUUCAAGAAUUCGUCUUUUCAACGCGGACCCUGAAGCAUUAGCACCAUUUGCAGGCACUGGAAUCGAGCUCAUGAUCGGAGUCCCUAACGAGAACCUCACUGCCCUUGCUGCUGGAGACGUCAACUAUGCGCUAGAAUGGCUUCAAACGAACAUUCUAGCCCAUGUUCAGCCGAAUCAAAUCAAAUAUCUCGCGGUUGGAAAUGAAAUUUUACUAAAGGAUCCAUUUUACACGCCUCAUCUUCUCCCCGCAAUCAAUAAUCUUUAUCAAGCUCUUCAAAUCCUUGGCCUUACCGAAACAAUUAAGCUCUCCUCUUCUCAUGCAGCUUCAAUUUUAUCAAAUUCUUAUCCUCCCUCAGCUGGUGCAUUCGACCAAAAUGUCGAAUCCACCAUGACCCCGCUGUUACAAUUUUUACGUGACACGGGGUCAGUCCUAAUGGUCAAUGUGUACCCGUAUUUUAGUUACAUAAAUAACCAACAAUACGUGUCACUAGAUAAUGCCUUAUUCCGUUCACAAAGUGAUCAGGUCGACCAAAACCUCGUCUACAAUAAUCUUUUCGACGAGACGGUUGAUGCAUUCGUGUACGCGAUGGAGAGGCAGGGGUUUAUGGGGAUCCCGGUGGUGGUGACGGAGACGGGGUGGCCUACUGCAGGUGGUGUAGCAGCCAGUCUGGAGAAUGCAUUGGCNUUGCAAACAAUCUGCCACAGCCCUCAGACGUGAUCAACCUCAUAAAAUCAAACGGCAUUUCAAGAAUUCGUCUUUUCAACGCGGACCCUGAAGCAUUAGCACCAUUUGCAGGCACUGGAAUCGAGCUCAUGAUCGGAGUCCCUAACGAGAACCUCACUGCCCUUGCUGCUGGAGACGUCAACUAUGCGCUAGAAUGGCUUCAAACGAACAUUCUAGCCCAUGUUCAGCCGAAUCAAAUCAAAUAUCUCGCG